CACUAGCGGUAUAAGAAUGCUAGGAAACUGAGAGUUAUCGCCCUUCCGUUAGUGCCGCUUGUUGCCUAGCUACCGAUCUCAGCAAAACGACGCCAUUGUUGUUGCUACUGCAUAGAUCUGCUACAUCUCUCUGUUGUCAAUCAAUUUCUACCUUCGAUUUUGAACAUCGCUUGAGUUUUCAACAUGAUGUCAAGUAGUUAUGUUCAAGACAGGAUGUUUCACCAGGAUUUCACCCCUGCUGCCACUCCUGUCCCACAUCGAGUAGGUGUGCUAGGCUUGUAGAAACAGAAACAGAAUAAACGUGACAUUAAUUUU